CAACAUUCCAAACACGCCUCUCUCCCCAGAGAGAGCCUGGCUCAUGCCAUGGAAUCUUUUCAGAGCCAGCAUCAAAGGCUGCGGGAGGCCCGGUAUUUGGGACAUCUCAUCGCAGCCCAGGUCCCAACGUAGGGUGAGUGUGGAAGCUGGGAAGUGGACACCGCAGAGGGGAGAGAGUUCUCAGCAGGUGCUCAGGAGGAGUUCGGAGACUGCCAUGGCAGGCAAAGGUCCACACACAUUGAAGGAUGACAGAAAAAGGUGCCAGAGCACGGAAAUACUUUGGAAAGAUCCCAGAGUUUUUACAAUCAACAAUGCUUUGCAAAGAUCACGAGUGUUGAUAACAUCUGUUGCACGUUUAUGGCAUACCAGUCAUCCUGCUGAACAUUUAAAAUAAUCUAGCAUUUCAGAACAAUCCUGUGGCAAGAGUCUGUGACAGAGCUCCAGCCAACAUCAAGGCUCAUGGACACACUGGAGUAGAAGAUUCCUUUCUGUCCACUUUUUCCGUACACAUGUGGAAGCUCGGGAACGAAGAGGUCAAGUCACUUGCUCAAGGUCUUGUGGGUCUUCCUAUUUAAAUCCUGAAGAUCAACUCCGAGCCCUCAAAGCACGGCCCUUUUGUUUUUGUGCCAAUCCCAGCAGCCAGCGUGGAACCCUUCCUUCAGUGGACGAGUUAAAGCUUCAGUGAGAGCACAGGAUGAAAAGCCCAGUUUGAUAAACAUGGACAUGAGCAGCAGCUCAAUUCCCUGAGUGUUUCCUAGGUGCCAAGCACUAUGCUAAAGGCUUUACAAGGACAAUUCCUUUCCUAAAGUAAGCCUAUGGUACAGGUAGUAGUAUCAAUUAUGUCUAUGCUGAAGAAGAGGAGGCUUUAGAAGACUGAGUCUCAUGCCCCAAAUGUAUAGCCAGAAGACAACUGGGCCAGGGCAUUAACCUGGAUGGUAGGACUUUAGAGCUAGUCCUCUCCCCUCCUGCGUCUUAGCACUGGAGGGGAUUCACAGCACCAACUCAACCACAGGCAGAAUGUUAUUCCUGGAGAGUUAAGACACUUGCCUGAGGUAAGAAGGGGAAUUCGCCUGUAAUCCAGAUGUCCAUGGUCCUGAAACAUGGCCAAAGCCAUUUUGUAGCAAUCCAGUAAGCCUUGAAAUGACCACCUGAGAAAAGCAGCCAAUGAGCCCCUCCUUCCUCCCAGGUCGAAGUAUGUCUCCAGGUCACCUCGGCCCGGCUUAUACUCAGCAUGGUCCCCAUUUUUAACAGAAACCAUGAUCAGAUGUAAGCUCGGCGACUCGUUCAAUAUUCAGUCAACAAACACAUGGCAGGUUUCAGGCCUUUGCAAGGCAGGAGGUGAGGAGAGGGUGCAAAGUUCUUCUCCAGUGUGGUAUGUGACUUCAAGAACUUUCAAGUACACCAGCAGUCUUGCUUUACCAGACAGAAGAGGAGGAGCUCGAGAGGCGAUGCUCCUGUUUGCCAGAGGAAUCACACAAACAUUUAUAUAUCCUAAUAGCCAUCAAGGCAGACCUGAAGCUCCCUUCAAUGAAUGGCCUGAGUUCUAUUUCCUCUGUUAAAAUUAAGUAGCCCUGGCUGAAUUCAGGGUACACUGUGUUAACCAGUUAAUGAGCAGAGCCGGGAAAAUCGGUAUCCAAAGAAAGGUGAAGAAAGGCAUGAGCAGACAUUUAAGGUGAGCCACUGAAAAGCACAUACUUGGAAGGCCAAAGCAUCAAGAAUGGGCUUUGAAGUCCUAUCUGAUUCAGAAUCUUGGCUCCAAACAAUCACAGGCUGUGUGACGUUGGUAUGUCCUAUAGCUAUUCUCAGGUUCUGUUUCAAAAUCACUAAACAAUGUACUAAUACCAACCUUGCAGUGUUCGGAGAUUCAUGAUAAUAGGUGCAAAAUGUCCAGCACAGCAUCUGCCAUCUUGCAUUGCCCAAUGUGUGGUAACUGCCAUUAUUAUUUAUAGUCACUGGGGAUUUCCACUAACCCUUGGCUUGUCUCAGUGGUAAAUUAUGUUGAGGGUUUCCGGAAAUGAGGAAAAAUCAUGUCUUAAAGCAAAAUUCAACCAUCAGCUGAGCAACAUUUACUGGGGAUCUGCUCUGGACUUCAGUGGGCUUGGGGAAACAGGGAAUAUUGCUUUCUUUUUCCAUGACAGAAAAUAAAAACUCAAAUUAAACUGAAAACUGAACUAAGAAAACUUAUUUUCAAAGCACUAGGCUAAGCCUCUGUGGGGACAGAAAAUGAACUGACCAAUGUGUGUUAGCUCCAAAGGCAAACUAUAAAUGAACAAGGAUAUCCGGUAUUGACCAGGGUUGAUCAUCUAAGUAUGUUCCAGAGCCAGGUGGAGUAGUUCUGGUAAUA
ensembl:lincRNA